CCUACGGGAGGCAGCAGUAGGGAAUAUUGCUCAAUGGGGGAAACCCUGAAGCAGCAACGCCGCGUGGAGGAUGACGGUUUUAGGAUUGUACACUCCUUUUGUUAGAGAAGAUAAUGACGGUAUCUCACGAAUCAGCACCGUCUAACUCCGUGCCAGCAGCCGCGAUAAUACGGAGGGUGCAAGCGUUACUCGGACUCACUGGGCGUAAAGCGUGCGCAGGCGGGCUUUUAAGUCAGAUGUGAAAUCCUGUAGCUUAACUAAAGAACUGCAUUUGAAACUAGGAGUCUAGAGUGUGGGAGAGGUAGGUGGAAUUCUUGGUGUAGCGGUAAAAUCCGUUGAUAUCAAGAGGAAUACUCAUUGCGAAGGCGACCUACUGGAACAUUACUGACGCUCAUGCACGAAAGCGUGGGGAGCAAACAGGAUUAGAUACCCUUGUAGUC
rnacentral:rRNA from 1 species